GAAAGCGGGUCAAACAAGUCAAGCAUGGAAGAAAAGCGUAGCUCGGAUGCAAGGUAAGUGAAACUUACAUAAUUGUGUAGAUUACUUGUUCAUUCUAUACGUUAUAGAUGCAAUAAUGCUAAUAUUGAAAAUAUAGAUUUCCGACGUGAUUGAUACGAGUCGGAACAUAUAAAGAUGAUAAAAACCAUGUUUAUGGCAAAAAGGGGAUUCGGUAAUGAAAUCCGGGACGGGAUGGAUGUAUGAAUUAGAAGUCAAAAACCAUGUUUUUGAUUUAAUAGGCAACGUUGGGCAUAUAGGCCGAACGGGUCAAAUGGUGGUAAUAACACUAUUUGACAAUAUCGACUAAUGCGAUUGUCAAGUCUUGUGUUAACAGGAGCGAUUAGCGAUUCAGUUAAUUUCGCCCACACUAAGUGUGAUGAUAAAAGCAAGGUAUAAAUUGGGUCUAUAUGUUGACCCUAGCCAGGUACUUUGUGGAAGCCGGAAGACGAUCAAGCUCAACAAAGAACCGAACACGAUACAGUUACAUGCUUUCGCACUUCGCCACGUUGUAAAUUUUAAACAACGAACUUCGAUCACAUUAUGUAGAAUAAUUUAUAAUUUGUAAAAGUUUUAAAUAAACCCGCAUUUAUAUAAUA